rnacentral:rRNA from 1 species
UACGUAGGGUGCUAGCGUUGUUCGGAAUUAUUGGGCGUAAAGAGCUCGUAGGCGGUCUGUCGCGUCGGCUGUGAAAUCCCGGGGCUCAACCCCGGGCCUGCAGUCGAUACGGGCAGACUAGAGUGUGGUAGGGGAGACUGGAAUUCCUGGUGUAGCGGUGAAAUGCGCAGAUAUCAGGAGGAACACCGGUGGCGAAGGCGGGUCUCUGGGCCAUAACUGACGCUGAGGAGCGAAAGCGUGGGGAGCGAACAGG